UGACGAGUUUGAUCCUAGCUCAGGAUGAACGCUAGCGGCAGGCUUAACACAUGCAAGUCGAGGGGUAUAGUUCUUCGGAGCUAGAGACCGGCGCACGGGUGCGUAACGCGUAUGCAAUCUACCUUUUACAGGGGAAUAGCCCAGAGAAAUUUGGAUUAAUGCCCCAUAGUAUAUAACAUUCGCAUGUUUGUUAUAUUAAAGUUCCAACGGUAAAAGAUGAGCAUGCGUCCCAUUAGUUAGUUGGUAAGGUAACGGCUUACCAAGACUAUGAUGGGGUAGGGGUCCUGAG
rnacentral:rRNA from 1 species